rnacentral:rRNA from 1 species
ACUCGAUCACGUGCAGAGGGGAAUAGCAGGUUGUACGUCUCUAUCAGAGACUACUACUGUUACAUGCUAUAGGCACGGCCUGCCAUUUUCAAUCCCAUACUCUCUGGAGCACGCCUACUGCAGCAAUGGGCGGUCGACAUGUAUGUCAAGAUUGAGAGUUGUCGGUUGAGGUGGUUCAGGAAGAACCAGACGUAGAUUCGGGCUGACUUGUAUAAAGGUGUUGUUGAUGCGAUCACAUCAGGCGAGACGCGAGCAAGCGCUGUUGGGACAAGAAUAGUG